rnacentral:lncRNA from 10 species
CAACAACUAAACCUGCGGGGAGAAAACGUUUUUCCCUUGAGGAAAAGCUGGCAGAUAUAAGCCAGUAGCUGUAGCAGCCAUGUCUGACUUCUGUGAGAAAACCAAGCCGUGGUUAGGGGAGAAGAAAGCCGAUCCACAGAGAGAGGCAGAGACAAGAGAGUCGGAGAGAGUCUGAGUCCCCGGCUCCAGGUGUCUCAGUCACGCUCCUGCUCUUCAGGGACUUAGGUUGUUCUGUUGGUUCAUCAAAACCCAAUGAAAAAUUGGAUCCACCACCCAGCAGCCGCAAAACCCGGGAGCUAUUCCUGCUGUUGGGGUUAACACCCUUGAAGGUAGUGGUGGUGGUCAUGGCGCAGAGGAGCAAGUUAGGCUGGCGUGGAAGCAGAAUGCUGACAAGGUCGGACCGAGGGGCACAGGGAGGCUCCAUACCCCACAGACUGGCCCCCGCUGGGGGAGUCUCCUGCCCACGUUAGCUUUUCAAAUGCUAUUUGGAAUAUGUUUAUUAUGUCUCUUUAAAUGUUAUUUCGAAAUGAUACUUAUUACUACCUAAGAUGUAAAUAACUCAUCCUAGGUCAAAAACGGCAUGGUUAGUGGGCUUCAAACAUAAUCUCUUCUGUACGGCUUUUUAAAUAUGGGACACCAUGGCUAUUCAGUUAGGUCCCUUGCUGGUGAGUCAGGCAGCCAAUACCAUCAGAAGCUGACCACAUACGUGCCCCCCAUGGAAGCUUCUGUAGCACAACCAUGUGAGGCAAGCCUUGGACACGACGUCCCUGUGCCCAGUUGACUCACAGCUCCACUUAUCUCUGCAUGAGAUCAAAAUACAAAUGCCAAAAUUUCACUUCCCCAAUUUUCUAUUUUUGCUAAUUGCCUCCACCUUGUUCUUUUUCUUUAUAUCCUAUGCAUGUUUGACAUUUUAAAAAGGUGUUUUUAGCUCUGAAUUUAAGCAAACUGGCCCACAGAUCUCCCCAGUGAGUAGCAGACUCUGAGUUAAUAUUCACGGUGUCCUAAAUGUUAACACUGCUUGGUUUUGCCUUGUUGCCUUUGCCUUGGCCCCAGCUAGUUUUAAAUUGUGUUUACACAAUUUUACAGAGUUACUUGCGUUUUUUCUUUAAUGAGUCAUGAUAUCUAGUAUCAAGUUCAGUUUGGUCGGCUGUUUCACUACUAUUCUGUACAUAAGACAGUUAAAUUAUAAUGUUAAUUUAAAAGACAGAGAAUCUAUAGUAGGUAUAUAUUUGAACAGGAGAACAUUUUUCUGCCAGACCUGAGGACCUUCUGGGCUUUAUCUUCUAGAAUAUCUUCUUUUGUAAAGAAGAGAAAAUAAAUCUCUGGAACUACUGGGGAACAUCUUUCAUUCUGGUUUUUUAAAAUGUUUGCUUCUUUAAUCCCCUGUGAUUGAGAAGGCAUAGAGGACUGCCAACUGAAGUGGAGGGGACCAAUCACAAGGUGUACAGCAUGCUUACUUCAAAACGGCUCUGAGAAACAAGGCAACGAUUCCUUAU